AGUCUCCUGUUUCAGUCGUUAAAAGGCGAUUUUGACUCUCCCUUUGUAGAAAUCAUACAGCUUCUGUAUCUGAUCAGAAGGUCAACAACACAAUCAUCUGAUGUUAGGCUAGAGGUAAGAACAGCCGGCUCUGGGGUUCCCGGAGGAAGGAAUUGCCAAUCUCGCCUGAAAGAACUGGUAAGAACCCUCCUCCAUUCCCUGACACUGAAACAUGGGAAGAAGCUCAGUCCAGCUGUUCUUGAUCAAGGCUGGGACUUGUCAAGUGUCAUGAGUAGCCUGCCCAGACAGAAAUGAGCGGGGGAGAGGGUUUUCUUAGUUUGGACCAAUUCUGGCAUCAUAGUUUUGAUCACAGUUGUCUGUUGGAGUGAACUUGGCAGAGAAAUACAGUAAGUCUGUAGAAACUCAGUCAGGAUGGAAUGCACAGUCUUCAAUGGGGAAUUUUAUAAAGACCACAAAAUAGCUCAGUUAAGACUGACUAACCCCACACAAUGGCAGAAGAACGACAUAGUUUCAUUUAUUCCACAAAUAUUUGCUGAGUGUCUGCCCCAGGCCAGGCACUGUCGGCACUGAGGAGAUAAUAGUGUACGGUGUGGCUGCAGCCCCUGGGUUCAAAGGGCUUGUAUUUUAGAUGGAAAGACCCACGACUAAACAGUCCAUGACAC
rnacentral:lncRNA from 1 species